rnacentral:rRNA from 1 species
UACGUAGGGGGCAAGCGUUAUCCGGAUUUACUGGGUGUAAAGGGAGCGUAGACGGCAUAGCAAGUCUGAAGUGAAAGCCCGUGGCUCAACCGCGGAACUGCUUUGGAAACUGUUAAGCUGGAGUACUGGAGAGGCAAGCGGAAUUCCUAGUGUAGCGGAGAAAUGCGUAGAUAUUAGGAGGAACACCAGUGGCGAAGGCGGCUUGCUGGACAGAGACUGACGUUGAGGCUCGAAAGCGUGGGGAGCAAACAGG